AGCGAACGCUGGCGGCAGGCCUAACACAUGCAAGUCGAACGAACCCUUCGGGGUUAGUGGCGGACGGGUGAGUAACACGUGGGAACGUGCCUUUAGGUUCGGAAUAACUCAGGGAAACUUGUGCUAAUACCGAAUGUGCCCUUCGGGGGAAAGAUUUGUCGCCUUUAGAGCGGCCCGCGUCUGAUUAGCUAGUUGGUGAGGUAAUGGCUCACCAAGGCUACGAUCAGUAGCUGGUCUGAGAGGAUGACCAGCCACAUUGGGACUGAGACACGGCCCAGACUCCUACGGGAGGCAGCAGUGGGGAAUCUUGCGCAAUGGGCGAAAGCCUGACGCAGCCAUGCCGCGUGGAUGAUGAAGGUCUUAGGAUUGUAAAAUCCUUUCACCGGUGAAGAUAAUGACUGUAGCCGGAGAAGAAGCCCCGGCUAGCUUCGUGCCAGCAGCCGCCGUAACAC
rnacentral:rRNA from 1 species